CCAAGGUUAGAAGCUCGAAAGUAUAUUUCAAUCUACCAAUUACAACCUUCCCACAAUGAAGCCUUGCUAACCUUAGCAAAAUUAGAUUUCAUUGUCCUUCAAAAUCUGCAUCAGAAAGAAGUUGCAGAUGUUCGCAAGUGGUGGAACAGCUUGGAUGUGCCCGGAAAUCUAUCAUAUGCGAGAGACAGGAUUGUGGAAUGUUACUUUCGGAUUCUUGCAGUUUAUUUGGAGCCUCAAUACUCUUUAGGCAGAUUGAUACUCACCAAAGUGAUAGCCGUUUUAUCCCUUAUUGAUGAUACUUAUGAUGCUUCUGGAACCAUCGAUGAGCUGACCAUUUUCACUGAUGCACUUGAGAGGUGAGAUAUUUGCUGCUUGGAUGAUCUCCCAGACUACAUGAAGUUACCUUACGAGGCACUGUGGAAUGUUUAUGAUGAAAUGGAUCAGUGCAUGA